rnacentral:ncRNA from 1 species
GGGGGAAAUUCUCCGGAAUUUCCGGGGGAAAUUCUCCGGAAUUUCCGGGGGAAAUUCUCCGGAAUUUCCGGGGGAAAUUCUCCGGAAUUUCCGGGGGAAAUUCUCCGGAAUUUCCGGGGGAAAUUCUCCGGAAUUUCCGGGGGAAAUUCCUCGGAAUUUCCGGGGGAAUUUCCGGGGGAAAUUCUUCGGAGUUUCCGGGGGAAAUUCUUCGGAAUU